UGGAUAGAACUCGACCUUUUUGGAGUAGGUCGUGGGAAGAGAAGAGAAAAAAGAAAUUUGAAUCGCAAUCUUUCCCAUCUUAUGUGUGUAAAAAACUCCGAAUCGGGUACGAGCAUUAGUAGUUUAACCCUCUCCCCAUCUCCCCUCUUCCCUUUCUAGAACUGAUUCUUAAUUGGUAUCAUAUUCAAAGUUUUUGGAUUUAAUGAUAAUGUACCCUCCUUCUUUAACUU